GACGAACGCUGGCGGCGUGCCUAAUACAUGCAAGUAGGACGCAGUUGCGAACGGGUGAGUAACGCGUAGGUACAUACCUAUUAGCGGGGGAUAACUAUUGGAAACGAUAGCUAAUACCGCAUACUAGUAGCUGGACCUGCGUUGUAUUAGCUAGUAGGUAGGGUAAUGGCCUACCUAGGCAACGAUACAUAGCCGAACUGAGAGUGUGAGAUGCUACACGGGGACUGAGACACGGCCCAGACGCCUACGGGAGGCAGCAGUAGGGAAUCGUCGGCAAUGGGGGGAACCCUGACCGGGCAACGCGGCGUGAGUGAGGAAGGUUUUCGGAUCGUAAAGCUCUGUUGUUAAGGAAGCGGUACUUAACCAGAAAGGGACGGCUAACUACGUGCCAGCAGCCGCGGUAAUAC
rnacentral:rRNA from 1 species